GGGUCUUGGGAUAUUUGGGGUUAAGCGUCCUUGGGUUUGAAUAGUACUGGGUUGGGUGACCUCCCGGGAAGUCCAAACACAGGAGCUU
rnacentral:rRNA from 1 species